CCAAUAGCGUAUAUUAAAGUUGUUGCAGUUAAAAAGCUCGUAGUUGAAUUUCGGGAUUGACGUAAUGGUCAUGCCUUAAGGGGUAUGAACUGUUACUGUUGAUUUCUCACCUUCUGGAGAAACUUGAUGUCCUUUAUUGGGUGUCUUGCGGAUCCAGUACCUUUACCUUGAAAAAAUUAGAGUGUUUAAAGCAUGCAUUUUUGCUCGAAUACAUUAGCAUGGAAUAAUAGAAUAGGACGGCAUGGUUCUAUUUUUUUGGUUUCUAGGAUCACCGUAAUGAUUAAUAGGGAUAGUUGGGGGCAUUAGUAUUCAAUUGUCAGAGGUGAAAUUCUUGGAUUUAUUGAAGACUAACUACUGCGAAAGCAUUUGCCAAGGAUGUUUUCAUUAAUCAAGAACGAAAGUUAGGGGAUCGAAGACGAUCAGAUACCGUCGUAGUCUUAACCAUAAACUAUGCCGACUAGGAAUCAGACGAUGUUAAUUUUUUAAUGACUCGUUUGGCACCUUACG
rnacentral:rRNA from 1 species